rnacentral:rRNA from 1 species
GACGAACGCUGGCGGCGUGCUUAACACAUGCAAGUCGAACGGAAAGGCCCUGCUUUUGUGGGGUGCUCGAGUGGCGAACGGGUGAGUAACACGUGAGUAACCUGCCCUUGACUUUGGGAUAACUUCAGGAAACUGGGGCUAAUACCGGAUAGGAGCUCCUGCUGCAUGGUGGGGGGUGGAAAGUUUUGGCGGUUGGGGAUGGACUCGCGGCUUAUCAGCUUGUUGGUGGGGUAGUGGCUUACCAAGGCUUUGACGGGUAGCCGGCCUGAGAGGGUGACCGGCCACAUUGGGACUGAGAUACGGCCCAGACUCCUACGGGAGGCAGCAGUGGGGAAUAUUGCACAAUGGGCGGAAGCCUGAUGCAGCAACGCCGCGUGCGGGAUGACGGCCUUCGGGUUGUAAACCGCUUUCGCCUGUGACGAAGCGUGAGUGACGGUAAUGGGUAAAGAAGCACCGGCUAACUACGUG